rnacentral:tRNA from 1 species
GCCGGCAUAGCUCAGUUGGUAGAGCAACCGCCUUGUAAGCGGUAGGUCGCCUGUUCGAGUCAGGCUGCCGGCACCA